GACGAACGCUGGCGGCGUGCUUAACACAUGCAAGUCGAACGAAGUGGCGAACGGGUGAGUAACGCGUAAUCAACCUGCCCUUCAGAGGGGGACAACAGUUGGAAACGACUGAUAAUACCGCAUACUUCAGGAGGGGAUUGGGUCUGAUUAGGUAGUUGGAGGGGUACCGUCCAACCAAGGCGAUGAUCAGGAGCCAGUCUGAUAGGAUGAACGGCCACAUUGGGACUGAGCAACGGCCCAGACUCCUACGGGAGGCAGCAGUGGGGAAGCUUCCGCAAGGGACGAAAGUCUGACGGAGCAACGCGGCAGGAGGGAUGACGGCCUUCGGGUUGUAAAGCUCUGUUAAUCGGGACGCGGUACCGGAAUAGAAAGCCACGGCUAACUACGUGCCAGCAGCCGCGGUAAUAC
rnacentral:rRNA from 1 species